rnacentral:rRNA from 1 species
ACGAACCGAGCGAACGUUGUUCGGAAUCACUGGGCUUAAAGGGCGCGUAGGCGGGCGGCCGCGUCCGGGGUGAAAUCCUCCGGCUCAACCGGAGAACGGCCUCGGAUACGGGCGGCCUGGAGGCGGGUAGGGGCGUGCGGAACUGUGGGUGGAGCGGUGAAAUGCGUUGAGAUCCACAGGAACUCCGGUGGCGAAGGCGGCACGCUGGACCCGAACUGACGCUGAGGCGCGAAAGCCAGGGGAGCGAACGGGA